rnacentral:rRNA from 1 species
GACGAACGCUGGCGGCGUGCUUAACACAUGCGAGUCGAACGGAACGGCCCUGCUUUUGUGGGGUGCUCGAGUGGCGAACGGGUGAGUAACACUUGAGUAACCUGUCCUUGACUUUGGGAUAACUUCAGGCAACUGGGGCUAAUACCGGAUAGGAGCUCCUGCUGCAUGGUGGGGGUUGGAAAGUUUCGGCGGUUGGGGGUGGACUCGCGGCUUAUCAGCUUGUUGGUGGGGUAGUGGCUUACCAAGGCAUUGACGGGUAGCCGGCCUGGGAGGGUGACCGGCGAAAUUGGGACUGAGAUACGACGCAGACUAGUACGGGAGGCAGGGGUGGGGAAUAGUGCACAAGGGGCGGGAGCCUGAUGCAGCAACGCCGCGUGCGGGAUGACGGCAUUCGGGUUGGAAACCGCUGUCGCCUGUGACGAAGCGUGAAUGACGGUAAUGGGUAAAGAAGCACCGGCUAACUACGUG